UCAUGACGCAUGUUCACAACCUAGUAAAACGCGCGUGGAGGACUGCGAACUUGUGUUUUCACUGCACUUCAUCUCAUUAAAGAACCCGCGUUACUACGUAACCGAGCAGCCGCCAAUUCGCGUCGAGUGAAGAGCUUCUAUCCUAGCUGUGAGACCUGUUGGUUAAAAGAUUGAUCUUCAAUACACACAAUCAAGUAAAGAUCCUUAGCGAUAUAUGACAACAUAUGUUUUCAGUGGAAAUCCAAGCAACACUAGAUCAACUACCAGAGCACUGUUUCUUUUGCUUUGAGCUGAGGGAGGGGAAAGCUACAUGUCAGAUUAUGACUGAGCUGUCCUACAGUUGCAACUACUUCCACCCCUAGAUCCAAUCUAAAUAAAGUGUGCCCAUCUGGUGUGCUCAGAGGGUCAUGAACCACCUCCCUGGGACCUAAAAUCACCAGGUCCAGGAUACAAAUUGACAGAGAACCAUGGCUCUAGCACCACUGAGCGGAUCACAAGUCAACCCGUCCCUUGCUGUGUGCUAACAAUGCACUGCUGCAUGGGUGGCUGCGGGGAGGGAAGAGGACUCUCUCCUUUCAUGUGCCACAUGGCUGGAGUCUGAAUAUGGGCCAGAAGGGGCUUGUUAAUACCAUUGUUCCCCUGCACGGUGGCAUACGUCCUCACCAUAUAAACUUUGUUCCGAUAGUUUGCCCUUUUCCCCCAGCCCUAAUUCCCCAGUGGCAGAUGCACUUUUAUUCAAGUACGUGUUCUUUGGUUGUUAAUCUCAAGAGCUCAAUAGGAUUAGAGGCUAUGUGCAGCUCACCAGCUCUGUGAAGCGAGAAAGAGCGGCCGACUGAGGAUGGUCCGCAUGAUCCUUUGAUCAGUCUCGCUCAUCCACGCGACGUGCAAUACCCAAGUGUAGGACGCUCGCACGUUGUGAACUCCAUCUGACUAACUGUUUUGGAUCCUGUCAGUAACGUGCUUGUCUCUGUGUAAGUGUGGAAAUAAGUUUGAAUACUUGUGAAUGCAAUACUGAUGUUGUAUCAAGAGGAUCGAUCCUCACAUAAAAAUAUCUUUACCAAGUCUCAUAACUAGUAAUUGUAUCACUUAUUUUUUUGUGGAAAUUAACUUUCAAGUGGGGAAAAAUGAACUGACAGCUCUCAUUCAAACUAAUAGUGUAUUGACUGACACAGAAACAUAACCAAACACACUAUAUAUAAGGCACAGCUAAAUGUGACACUUAUUAUAAUGGGUUGGUUAUGGGUACUUUUUUUUUUUUUUUACUGUACUGUAUUCUAUCCCCUUACACU